rnacentral:lncRNA from 1 species
GGCGCCUGCUUGGAGCGCCACCCAGGGACACCAGUAGAUCACGUGUCUCAGUUUUCCACAUGGUGCUCUCCUUCCCGAGAGGUAUUCUGUCUAUUCCCGUGUGCCCUUUCCCCUGUUUCCGGUCCGUCAGCCCAGAUGAUCUGUGAGAGCGAGUGAAGACGCGAGAAUGUGAGUGAGCGGAUGGGGCUAGCAACACGGUAAAGUGCGCCCGUUUCCUUUGUUUGUCCAAACGGUCGGGUUUCUGUCCGCAAACACUGUGUACUGUGUGAGUAGUUCUUUGGAGAACUUUCGACCCCUGCCUAUGUCUGCCUUUCUUCCUGGUUGAUUGUGAAGGCCCCUUUCCCUCCCCAACCCCUGAACCCUACUCCUUUGACCAGAAUUAGUCCUUUGGUGAAAUCAAG